rnacentral:lncRNA from 1 species
UCUUUCCCAAUUUUACUAAUACCCCAAUUGUUAUUACAACAAUUAUUACAGACCCAAAAUGAAUGAAAUAAAUUACAUAAAUAAAUGACUAUAAGGAGCCUACAACAGGCCCAAAGAUACACCCGGCCAGGCCAGGCCUUCAAUCCCAUGGUUCACAAUAGCCCAGAAAUGACAUCUUCAUUGACAUAAGGUAGCCAUAAAUCAAUUAAUUCACCCACUAGGUAUAAAACAUAUAGAACCAAGACCCUAGUGUUUCAGAGUUCCCAAGGGCUUCAAGAACUCAGGGCAGUGCUCACACUAGGGAGGUCAAAGGGCAAAACCUAAGUAGCCUUGGCUUUCAGCUGGCUAAGGAAUAAGAACUCAAAGAGAUCAAGUAGUAAAGGAAUAGAAUGAGGUUAAGGGACAACACUGAAGGACAGAAUCAAAUUAAGCAUGUAAAAAAAUAGGUAACAAAACAUGCUUAGAUUUAAGACUGACUUAACCAAGUUUCAGAAAACGAGUUCAAUCACAUAAUGCGCAUAUUAACAAGACAAGUUGCAAGACAGACUUAUAGUAAGAAGAAAAAGAGAUUUCAGAUUAUGCUAAGUGCAGAAGGCUAGUGUCACAAGAAGGAAUCAUAUCAAUUGGCAAUAGAACCUAACAUGCUGAGAACUAAUUAGGGUAACUACUGGAGAAGUCAAGACAUGAUGAAAACAAGAUCAAAACAGGCUACAUUGUAGCAAUUCAGAAACAGACUUGUUAUUUACUUAAUGAAUACACUCAUACUUAAUCAACUAAUACAUAGAAGGAGAUAGGAGAGAAUGUUCCAGUAGCAAUUUUAAACAGUAGAGGGGUGGCUAUCAAUAACACAUAGGCUAGGCAGAAUUAAAACAAAUUAAUCAACUCAGGUCUAAACAUGCCUCAAACUACAAACGUAAUGGCAUUCAGAUUAGCAAAUCCUAAAACAGAAGUAACACAUGGAAUAAAAAUCUUUAGAAUGAAAACUCAUGUUAAUGACAGGUAAAUCAGAAUGAAAUGACAAAGGUUUGGUAACUUACCAGUUAAAUGAAACAAGAAAGAAAAGAAGCCCGCAGUGUUAUGAAUAUCAACGAAAGAGCAAGAACCCAGAAUUUCUGGCCUUGGCUUUCAGCCGGCCAGGAAUCAAAGUGCAGAACAAGAUUGUUAAAGAGCAAAGAGCACACAACUUUAAUUUUUAGUAAUUUUCUUAAUGAUUCGAGAGCCGUUUCAAAGGGGAGUGGGGAGGGGUUUAUAUAGUGGAGAAAUAAAACACAUAAACAUGGAAAAACAUCAGCCAAACACUUAGAAAGGAAAGCAAUGGAAAUCAGUAAGGAAAAGAGAAAAUUUCAAAACCCUAAUUUUAGGUAAAGUACACAAAUCGGCAGAAAUCUAAAAUAAAAUGUGAAAAUUACAUGCUGCAUAGAAUAAGAUGAACAUAGACAUAAAUACCUUUUAAAAUCAAAGAAUCGAACCAGAUUUGGUUCAAUUUAAAAGAAUCUGAAACCCUAAUUUUAGGGUGAGUAGGAAUCACAGAAAUACAUAGAGAUAUACUAUAAAAGAACAAGAAUGAACAUAGACGGAAAAGUUCAAGGAACUGAACCAGCAUUGGUUCGAAGUUGAUGAGAUCCGCUUGCCAUGUUUAGGCAAGCAGUAUAUAGAAGGUUCCAGUACUAGGGGGAAGUAGAAUAUGGCAAGAAACAGCUAUGUAAUCUCAUGUCCGGUGGGAUUAGGAGAAACAAUUGGGGGAGACGGCUAGGGUUUGGGCAGAGAGAUGAGUGAAUCAUAAGGCGGUGGAUGGUGG